AUGGUGGGAUCAAAGAAGUUCCGAGGGGUCAGAGAACGCCAUCCGGGAUCCUGGAUAUCUGAGAUUCGCCAUCCAUUACUGAAAAGGAGGGUGUGGCUUGGGACAUUUGAGAGUGCAGAAGAAGCAGCACGAGCCUACGACGAGGCUGCAAUUCUGAUGAGCGGCCGAAAUGCCAAAACAAACUUUCCAGUCACUACAACUGAAACUGAAGCUGCUAAUAAUAGCAAUAUCAAUUCCAAUUCCAGCAGUAGUACUAGUACUUCUUCAUUGUCUGCAAUCCUCAGCGCCAAGCUUCGCAACUGCUGCAAGUCUCUGACGUCUGGUUCCUUCACUUGCCUCAGGCUCGACACCGAGAAUUCCCAAAUCGGUGUUUGGCAAAAGCGCCCCGGGCCACGCUCAGAAUCGAUCGAAUUGGCUGAUGAUAGUGGAGCUGGGACAGAAGAGUGGUUUACAUGCGGAGAAGGCUGAAAGUACUAGUGCUCCUCAAUUAUCCCAUGAAAACCAAGCUCUUCUGGCCGAGGAGGAAAGGAUUGCAUUGCAGAUGAUAGAGGAACUAGUAAGUCAACUGAAGCCUACGGGGGUGAAAGAGGGCCUCGUCUUGCUGAAGAGUGAAGACACCCUCCGAUUCCGUCCUCUUCACUUUCUUUCAGUUUCUGCAGCUCUUGUCUGCAAACUAGGAAUGGCUAAACAGAACCCUGAUGAAGCAUCUUCAUCUUCGCGUUCCUCAAACUCAAAACAUUGGAUGUACGACGUGUUCUUGAGCUUCAGAGGCCAAGACACACGUCACAGCUUCACCAGCCGUCUCUACUCGGCACUGAAAGAGGCCCAAGUCAACGCUUUCAUCGACGACAAAGAACUCAGAAGAGGGGAAAAAAUCUCAUCCGACCUGCUUCGUGCAAUCCAGGGGUCCAGAGUUUCUGUGAUCGUCUUCUCCAGGAGGUAUGGGGAUUCGAGUUGGUGCCUUGAGGAACUGGUCAAGAUCAUGGAGUGUAGAAGAACACUUGGUCAAAUGGUUUUCCCAGUUUUCGUUGACGUUAAUCCUUCCGAUGUGAGAAGACAGACUGGUAGUUUUGCAGUGGCAUUUCAGAAGCAUGAAGGGCGUUACGUGUUGGAGAAGGAAAAGGUACUCAGGUGGAGAAGUGCUCUUACUGAAGCUGCACAUUUGUCUGGCUGGGAUCUUAGAAACACUGCAGAUAGGCAUGAAGGGAAGUUUAUCAAGAUAAUUGUUGGGGAGGUUAGUAGACACUUGAACAACACUUACUUAUUUGAAGCCGUGUACCCAGUUGGAAUCGAUUCUCGGGUAGAGGAUAUGAGCAAGCUUUUAGGUGUUGGAUUAGAUGAUGUUCGCAUGAUUGGCAUAUGGGGCAUGGGUGGAAUUGGGAAAACAACAGUUGCUAAAGCCAUUUUUAACAAAUUUUGUGGGAGCUUUGAAGGUAGAAGUUUUCUAGCAAAUGUCAGGGAAGCAACAAAGCAGCCAAAUGGUCUGGUUCGUUUGCAAGAACAACUUCUUUUUGAUGUCUUGAGAACAACCAAGAUAAAGGUUGGUAGUGUUGAUGGAGGGAUCAAUGUGAUAAAAGAGAGACUUCGAUGUAGAAGGGUACUUGUCAUAAUUGAUGAUAUAGAUCAACUAGAUGAUCUCUAUGCAAUAGCUGGAAACCAUGACUGGUUUGGUUCGGGAAGUAGAAUUGUUAUCACCACAAGAGAUGAACAUUUGCUAAAACUACUGAAAGUAGAUUCAAUAUAUUCGGCUACAGAAAUGAAUGAAGAUGAAGCUCUUCAGCUCUUUACUUGGCAUGCCUUCAGAAAGAGUAAUCAUGAUGAAGGAUUUUUUGAAGUAUCAAGUAGUGUAGUUGCCUACUGCGGAGGUUUGCCGGUAGCUCUUGAAAUUCUAGGAUCUUUGUUGCUAGGAAGAAGCAUGCCCGAGUGGAAAAGCGUGUUGGGGAAAUUGAAAAGAGUUCCUCAUGGCCAAAUUCAGGAAAAGCUUAAGAUAAGCUUUGAUGGGCUAAGUGAUGAUAAACAGAAGGAUAUAUUCCUUGACAUAUCCUGUUUCUUUAUAGGAAUGGACAAGAACUAUGUCAUACAAAUAUUGGAUGGUUGUAAUCUCUUUGCCAAAAUUGGAAUCAGUGGUCUCCUAGAGCGACGCCUUGUGACUGUUUGUGAAAGAAACAAGCUGGGGAUGCAUGAUUUGCUUCGAGACAUGGGCAGAGAAAUUGUUCGAACAAAUUCCCCUAAUGACCCUGGAAAGUGUAGUAGAUUGUGGAACCCUGAAGAUGUAAUGGAUGUAUUCAAAGAACACUCGGGAACUGAAGAAAUUCAAGGACUCGCUCUAACUUUGUCGGGAUCUGACAAGGCGUGUUUCAGUACAAAUGUAUUUAAAAAUAUGAAGCGAUUGAGAUUGCUUCAUCUCAAAUACGUAGAGCUCACUGGAGGCUAUGGAGAUCUUUCCAAAAAGUUAAGGUGGUUGUGCUGGCAUGGAUUUCCUCUAAAGUUCCUUCCGAAUGAGUUUAAUCUACCAAAUGUUGUUGUUAUUGAUCUGCAGUACAGUAAACUAGUACAAGUUUGGAAGGAUUCAGCGAUGCUCAAAAAGCUGAAGAUUCUAAAUCUUAGUCAUUCUCAUCACCUAACAAGAUCACCAGACUUCUCAAAACUUCCAAAGCUCGAGAAAUUGAUACUCAAAGGCUGUGAGAGGUUAUCCGAGGUUCACCAGUCCAUUGGACAUCUUGAAGGACUUGCUUUGGUAAAUCUUAAAGACUGCAAAAUGCUCAAGGAGCUCCCAAUGUCUUUCUACCAGUUGAAAGCUAUUGAAACUCUGAUUCUUUCUGGCUGUUCAAAAUUUGAUAACUUGAUGAAGGAUUUAGGUCAGAUGGUAUCCUUGAGAACUCUGCUAGCUGAUAACACUGCCAUAAGAGAAAUACCAUCAUCCAUAAUACAGUUGAGUAACCUUGAAUAUUUAUCUUUAUGUGGCCUGAAACAGCGGCCAUCUAAAUUGUUUCUGACUCGCUUCUGGUCUCACCUGUUGCCAAGAAGAUGUGUAAAAUAUCCUACAUCCUUAUCAGGUUUAUAUGCUUUGAAAGAACUGUAUGUUAGAGACUGCAAUUUAAAUGACAGUUCACUUCCGAAGGAUCUUGAGAGUCUAUCUUGUUUGGAAGUAUUGAAUUUGGGAAGAAAUUGUUUCUUUAGCCUUCCAUGCCUCAGUGGUCUUCUCCAGCUUCAAGAUCUUACAUUGGAUAAUUGCAAUUUGACUGAAGAGGCCAUUACAGCUACUAAUCUUUGGACUCUACCUUCUUUAGAUUUAUUGGAUCUAAGUGGCAAUAGUUUUCGUAGCCUUCCAAGCCUCAGGGGACUUCCCAAGCUAGUCCAUCUACUUCUGGAUAAUUGCACUAAUCUUCAUGCCAUCCCAGAACUACCAACAAAUCUAGCUGUGCUGAGAGCAGAUGGCUGCACUGCAUUGGAAAGAAUGCCAAACUUUUCAGAAAUGCUGAGCAUCCGUCAGCUGAAUCUUAGUGAUUCCCCCAAACUAAGUGACAUCCCGGGCUUUGGUAACUCAUCAUACUUGCUUGAGAUUGAAAUGGAAGGCUGCAUAAAUAUCAGCAGAACUUUAAAGGAGAAAUUACAACAGAGGGGGAGUUAUGCAGGCAACUUUGGAGGCAUCUUUCUCCCUGGAAAUGACAUUCCACCGAGGUUCAUGUAUGUCAAUGAGGGUGGCAUUCUCACUUUUCAAGUGCCUCCUAAUAUAGGCAGUAAUCUGAAGGCAUUGACUGUGUGCAUUGUCUAUUCUUGUUCUUCAAAGAAAAGAGAAAAUCUGAAUAGUAUUUUCAUAUAUGUUAUAAACCAUACCAAGCACACUGUCUUUUUCGUCCGACCAUCAUCACGUCCCAAGGAAAUAAUCUCCAGUGGGGUUAUUUGGCAAGGACGCUUCUCAAACAGAAAGUUCAGUUUGGAAGGUGGAGACGACGUUGAGAUUUGUGCAGCAAUUGGUUCUCGAUUCCGGGUGAAGAAAAUUGGGGUUGAUCUUGUAUUGGAUGAAUAUACUUUCAGAGAUGUGGAUAUGAUCAAGUCUCUUCCAUAUGCUUGUUUUCGUCGUCAGAAUGAUGAUGAUGAUGAGGGAGAAAUCACAUCAACUAGUAGAGGUGGUGUUGUUACGCAUCAGCAAAUCAACUUCAACAAAUGUGUCUUGUGGUGUUUGAUUGCCGCCAUCGCAUGUUCUUAUAUAUUCAUGCACUGUUUGAUUUCAAAUUGA